GCCCUGGUGGUGAAAUUGGUAGACACGCCAUCUUGAGGGGGUGGUGAGCUAUGCUCGUGCUGGUUCGAGUCCAGUCCAGGGCA
rnacentral:tRNA from 3 species